AAUAGAUACCCCGGUAGUCCACGCCGUAAACGAUGAUAACUAGCUGUCCGGGCUCAUGGAGCUUGGGUGGCGCAGCUAACGCAUUAAGUUAUCCGCCUGGGGAGUACGGUCGCAAGAUUAAAACUCAAAGGAAUUGACGGGGGCCUGCACAAGCGGUGGAGCAUGUGGUUUAAUUCGAAACAACGCGCAGAACCUUACCAGCCUUUGACAUCCUGGUCGCGGGGAGAGGAGACUCACCCCUUCAGUUCGGCUGGACCAGUGACAGGUGCUGCAUGGCUGUCGUCAGCUCGUGUCGUGAGAUGUUGGGUUAAGUCCCGCAACGAGCGCAACCCUCGUCCUUAGUUGCCAUCAUUCAGUUGGGCAUUCUAAGGAAACCGCCGGUGAUAAGCCGGAGGAAGGUGGGGAUGACGUCAAGUCCUCAUGGCCCUUACAGGCUGGGCUACACACGUGCUACAAUGGCGAUGACAGUGGGCAGCUAUCCCGGCAAGGGUGAGCUAAUCUCCAAAAGUCGUCUCAGUUCGGU
rnacentral:rRNA from 1 species